GCUGCGGUGUCCGAGUGGUUAAGGAGAUGGACUUGAAAUCCAUUGGGCAUUGCCCGCGCAGGUUCGAAUCCUGUCCGCAGCG